rnacentral:rRNA from 1 species
UACGAAGGGGGCUAGCGUUGCUCGGAAUCACUGGGCGUAAAGCGCACGUAGGCGGAUUGCUAAGUCAGGGGUGAAAUCCUGGAGCUCAACUCCAGAACUGCCCCUUGAUACUGGCGGUCUCGAGUCCGGGAGAGGUGAGUGGAACUGCGAGUGUAGAGGUGAAAUUCGUAGAUAUUCGCAAGAACACCAGUGGCGAAGGCGGCCUCUGUGCC